rnacentral:lncRNA from 1 species
ACUUACUUUUUUUAAAUAAAAAAAACAUCUUAUUUAAAUAUAUGUCUAAUAUUAUAGAAGACCCACAUAUAUGAAUUAUUGAUUUUAGCUCGUAAAUGGUUGACAAAGCUCAUCGGAGUGCCAACGCUUCAACCACCAUAGGAUCCACACAUGAAACCUGCAACUGAGAAGCAGCAACCAGAAGUUUUCCAUUGUGAUCCCUCGCUACCCGCCCGAAUCCAGUGCCGUCCACUCCGGACCAACCAACAUCAAUGUUAAGUUGUUAACUUUAAUCUUCCCAUUUCAGCUUAAGUAGCAAAUCUGUCCUUAAACUUGAUAACCCAUAUUAGCCUAUAUACGUUCAUAUUUAGGAAUAUAUGACCCAAAAUAAACGGCAACCAGGGAAAAAAUGAUUCAUUGAUGGUAUGAAAGAAUAAUUAAUCAUUAUGGUUACAAAUGACAAGAGGGAAGGAGGAAAACAACAUAAUUAAUACUCCUAAGUUAUGUCCUAGUUCAUGAGAAAAGCCUUGCAUUUCACCAUGCUAAGUGCAUUCAAUCAUGCCCCAACUCCUACCUGGGGAGACAAGUUCUCUUCACCAUCACCUGAAAGUCAUUUCAAAAAUUUACUAUUAAAUUAAUUACACUAAUUGGAUUUUUUUAAAUUUCUAUACAAUUGAAAGUUCUAAGAGUGUGUAAGAAUGAAUGAUGAGGAAGCUAAUGAAGUUACCGCCGAAGAAGAUGGGGUUUUUGCAGCGGCCUCUGCACAUCCAAUUGCAAAUGGCGGAGAGGAAGACGCAACUUUCGUAGCAAUAUGUGUAGCACUCUUCUGAUGUGAACUGGCGCGCCUGCGUCGUCUCAACAAUGCUGCUGACUACGAGGCACACCAUCAACAAAAUUGCAACAUUUUUUCUCGCCAUUUUGGUAUGCCUGGCUCGCUAUCUCUAUGUUUUCUUUUGCUAGUGCUUAAUUUGUUUAUCCCCCUUCGCUUUGGAUUAUUUUUCAAGAUUUAUAUAUAUAGCUAACUCCAUGGCUCGUGAGCCACAAAUAAGGUCAACCUAAAAUUGUGGGGCAGAUCAUUGUGCUAAUUAGCGAGGAGAUAGGGGAACCUGAAAGUAGGGGGAGAUAAUUAUCCUUGCCUAUUAUUACUCAAUAUGAGAUUCCAAAUUCACAUGUAUUUCCUACAAUCUUUCCUUUAAAUGCGAGUAAUCAUAAAAUUGUUAUGUUCCAUUGCUCCCCCUCUAGUCUAAAGUCUCUUCAGUACUGAAUAAAAUCACAUAACUAGUGAAACUUCAAGGCUGAAUAAAAUAUAAUCAUAAGAACUUUAUUUUACAUCCCUUUCAUGUACAUUACAAUACAAAUGCUUUUUUGAUCUGAUAAAUGCUCCCCGAAUGCGGGGCUAAAACAAUCUAGAUGAAAAGAAAAAUUAUGCUGCCAUAGCCACACUGUAAAGAAUAUAUAACAACCUAAUGGAAGAACAUCACAGGAUAUAACAAACACACAACCUAGUAGUAUUUGAGAACAGCGAAUCCCAGUGCAAUCAAUAGAGCAGAAGGAGGGACAUUGUAAGAUGUCAUGGCAGAUGAUGGAGUCAGAUUGGAGCGGCCACUUCCUGUAGAUGAAGAUGGGGUAUCAGAAUCCACUGAUGGAGAUGGUGGAGUCAAUAGAGGAACACUUGUGUCAGACUGAGGUGCCAAUGAAGGUGAAGUUGGUGAGGGAAGUUCAGAAGAAGCUGCUCAAAGAAAAUUAAGAGCCUGAUGUUAAUAACAAACUAAUAAACUCUUAGUUAGCACUUAAAAUAUAAUGUUAGUAUACUAAGAGUAAGAAACUUUAAGUGCUUGCAUUAAAGUGAAAUUACCUUGAGGACUAGGGGUUGGGGUAAAUCCAGAGGGAGCAGAUGCAGGGGAUAGUCCAAGAGACCCCGGUCCUGUGAAUAAACACCAAAAUCAUUCUAGAGGUUAGAUAUUUAAAAAGAAAAAUGGUGUAUUUAUUUCUAGGCCAAAAUAUAUAUUGAAAUGGAAAUUUUGUGUUUUGCCAUUACCUGGAGCAGGAAGUGGGGAACCAGAGGCUGCAAAAUAAGCAAGGGCAAACAGUUAAACAUCUUAGAGCGUGUUUUGAAAUCUUUCAACAAUUGAUUCUAAAACCAAAAUUACUUUUAGGGAAAAGCUACUCGACUACUUUGAGUAAUUAUACGAAAAAGUUGAUUGAAACAUGCUAUUAGCCGUGUUGGUAAACAGACUAUGAAUGAAAAAGAUUGAAGAAAUUUACCUUUGCAUUGAACUGGGACACCAGGCAUGUUGCAGGCACGAGGGAGAGAGAUAGCCAAGGUUCUGUUGAUCGGUAACUUGAAGGGAAUGCUGGCGGUGACCAAGAGACACAAACAGUCCAUACCACUACUUGUGAGGGACUUGAGAGCACCGCAGCACUCUGUGGUUGGCGAGGAGGAGCCAUUGGCACUGCUACUUGUGAGGAAACUCAUACAAGGUGUGAAGAGAGUGCUUAGCACUGAGGCAUUACAUGGCGUGCUGAUUUGGGCAUCAUAAGCUGGUGCAACCAUCACCAUUGCAAUGGCUAACACUAGAGCUAGGCGGCAGAGAGGCGCAAAACUUGCCAUGUGUACUAUACAAUCCUGUAGUUUUAGCUUGUGGGGUUGGUUCAGGAUGUGCAAAAGAAAAAUGGGUUCUGAAGUUUGAUGAUUGUGUACUUGAUGGAGGAUAAGGGGACUUAUAUAUAUAUAGAUAGAAGGCAUGAAGAAGAGAAGGGAAGGAAAAUGAACUAUUAGGAAUCAUUUGGAUUUGGUUUAGAAGCUCAACUACCAAACCAUUCAAUGCGAAUUUGAAGUGUUUAAGUAGGUAGGAUUUGCAUGUUGUGGCCCUCAUCUGAGACUACAUUGUCUAAAGCACAUUAAGCUCACCAGGUGGCAUCCAAAACUUCCUACCCUAAUUUGGCGUCACGCAAUGUUGGAUGUAUAAUACUCAAUUUAUUAUUGGCCUACUUAAUUAUCAGUCAAGUCAUAAUUCUUAAUUAGUUCAGGUAGAUAACUGAAUUUACAUCAUCUCAGAGUCCUACUUCCAUUUCUUUCUUGCAAAAAAUUCUUAGAAGAUGAGGUUAUCAAGAAUGAGACAGUCAAAGCAUAUCGAUUCUUAACUUUUUGUAAGUAAAAACGAUUACGUAGUUUAAGUUAAAUCAAUGAUACGAUAAGUUCAUUUUAGAGGAGUUUGAUUAUUCUUUCUACUUUAGUUAGUUAUUUAUCGAUAAAUGCUAUGAUAUCCUCUAACUAUGUUGAUUGUUGAUGAAGAAUUUUAAAAGUCUUAAUUGUAUUUGUAGUCCUCUUAAUUGGACUUUAUGUGAUUUUGGUCUCUAUAAUUUAUUUUUCGAACUAAUAAGUUCUUGUACUUUUAAAAAUAAGUAAAUUUGAUCCCUUUGUCAAUUUCUUACACCAAAUGUCAUUAAAUCUUUAUAUCCUCUAACUAUAAUUUAUGAUGGAUUAGAGUAACAUAAAAUUGAAAGUCUAAAUCUAAACAAUUGAGUACAAAUUUAUUAAAAUUUGAAGAUUUUACUAUAAAUGUUUUCUAUGGAUUUAGCUAUCAAGUUUUCAUACGGAUUUACCUUUAAUUUUUUUCUGCUGAUUUUACUAAACUUUUCGUAUAGAUUGAGUGAGCUCUCAAACAAACUAGCAUGAUUUCAAUGGAAUGGGGGUCUUAACCUCUUAUGUUCAUUACAAACGGAAACUAUACAAGGGAAAUUAAAUUCAACAAAUCAAGCGUAGGAAACACGUAGUUCGUUUUUCUGAACUCAUGUUUUUACUCAUCCUAACAUCCCUCACCUGGAACAUCAAAAAGGUUGGUGAUCCACAUAACAGACCUGUGUUUGGAAUUUUCUAUGCAAUUUAAUUUUAUAGGCCAAAGAUUCAAGUCUCCCUAUUUGAACUUUGAACAGCUUAAUAUAUCAGAGAAGUAGUUCACCAACAUAACCUGUCUUCAAUUGCUUUCUAUAUCUUAAUGUCUUUUUUUUCCCUAUAAAACCCCCUGCUAGUACUCCAUCCCUUCAACCAUCCAAGUAAAUCAAACACAACGUUACAGUCUUAAAAAACACAAUAUUCACUUCUCAGUUCAAAGGAUAUAUACCACUAGAUUUUACAUCAUUAACUUCCAAUUCAAUAUGGCACAAACAAAAAUGGUGAUGGGUCUGGUUCUGGUGGUAAUUGCAAUACUCUGUGCCGGAGCUGCAGCACAAUCAAGUUGCACUAGUGUGUUAGUGAACCUGUCACCGUGCCUCAACUACAUCACAGGGAACUCCUCAACCCCAUCUUCAGGGUGCUGCUCACAGCUUGCCAGUGUUGUGAGGUCACAACCACAGUGCCUGUGUCAGGUUCUUAACGGCGGAGGAUCAUCACUGGGAAUCAGCAUCAACCAAACCCAGGCUCUGGCCUUGCCUAGUGCUUGCAAUGUGCAGACCCCACCCACCAGCCAGUGUAAUGGUAAGACACCAACAUUCCGUGCAUGUUUGAAAAUUGUUCUACAAUUGAUUUUAAAACCAGAAUCAAGUCCGACUUACGAGUAACUUCUGGUUGCUAGAAUUGACCCUGAAGAAACAGAAGCUUAUGCAACUAUUUUAGUCCAUCACUUUAAACUGAUCAAUUUUCCACAUCUUUGGCAUAUAUAUACAUGUCCACUCUACUAUUCUAACCAAUGUAUAUAUGUAUAGUCAAAAUUUAAAAAAAAAUGAACAUUUAACAUCACCAUUGCUUUUUUCUAAUUAAUAUUCAUCAUGUGGUUGUAAACAGCUGCUGCUACACCAGCAGAUUCUCCUAAUUCGGAUCCAUCAGGUAUGUACACAAUGCUAAUUCAACAUGUUGAGGAAUUGGUAUUUCUGAUCCAGUUUGUUCAUGUUAAGUUUAAUUUGAUGUUUAACUGCAGGCACCGGAUCAAGAACCGUGCCCACACCAGACGAUGGCUCCUCCAGUGGAAAUUCCAUCAAGUUAUCAAUUCCUCUGCUGUUCAUUGUUUUUGCAGCAACAUAUGCUUCGACUUUCUGAACAUGCUGAUUCUAUAAUCAGUUGGCUUUUCAUUUUGAGUGCUAUUUUUCAGUUGUUAAAGAUUGUGGUCUAUUUUAGAUGUAUUCAUUUUUGUAAUCAAUAUUUGGUUACAUUGUUUUGUAUUGUGAACUGAGAGAGAUAUAUUUAUAUGUACUCUCCCCUUCAUCAAUAAUCAUGGAUUGUAUAAUUAAGUUGUUUACCUAAACACAAUCAUAAUCAUUUUUUAACACUUUAUGUCAAAAUAUGAUAAAACUAACCACGUAACAAUAGAAUCAUUUGAAUACUCAGAACAAGGGGCAGAUGAAGAUCUCCAAAAACCAUAUGUUCGUUCAUAGCAUAUGAUGCACAACCAGAUUUCAGUGUCAUCACUCACAUUACAUGUCUUUUUUCAAGUUAAAUUAAAUUAAAGAGGGAGAAAGCUAUAUCUUAUGCAGGACAGCUUACAUGAUGAUUAAUAGUAGACAUUUUUUUAUUUUUAGCAAAAUAUUGCGGUUGUUGUAUUAAAAAUAAAAAAUUCAUACAGCCAAAACCAAAACCAUGUUGGCAAGAUCUAAUAAUAUUUUAUCAUAUGUAAAAAAUAUACAAGUUUAUUUCCUUUAUCGAAGAGAAAUUGUUUGGACUUUGGAGGCUGCUCUUACCUAACUAAACACAUUAUUAAAUUGUUAAACUAGAGAGGAGUAGAUUCCAAUAUUACAUUUAAAAACCAUGAUUGGCCUUUUCAAACUAUUGUUUGAUGCAAAGAAGACAUUUCCAUUGCAGCGUGAUUAAACUAGUAAACACUCAUUAGUCACUGUAGCUAACUGUUUAAAGAAUCGAAAUCAAAGCACCAGAUGCAGCAAGUGAAAAAAUGCAUCAUGAGAUCACAAUUUUAAUUUGCCAAUAAGUAUGUCAUAAUUUUUUUGUAAACCACUGGUAUCUGGUUCGCCUUUUGGAUACUGAUUAUUUCGGAUUCAAAAUUUAAUCAUAAUUAAGGUUUUUUAUCCCUUCUUUCAAGUGUAUUGUGUAGGGAUUGAAUUUAAAAGCUUUUUUUCUGCACACUCAACAUGCGUACAAAGCUACCCACAUUGAAGAAUAGGAUAGCUAAAAAUUGGUGCUUUAAAAUUAGGAAUAGUAAAUAGGUGGAGAAGGGGAAGAGAGUGGUGGUGGUAGUAAAGAAAGUCUUCAAGCUUUUGGAUGAUUUUCUUAAGAUGAAUUUCUAUGAAAGAUGAUAAAUUUAUGAAAUUAGGAAUAUGAUUAGGAGUUAAUAAUUUUUUGAUAAAGGAUAAAAUCUAAUUUUAUAUGUUCAAAAAUUAGAAAAGAAUAAUAAAUUUUGGUAUAUCUACAUCCAUCCAACACAAUACUCACAACGUCAAUAUGCCACACCACCUUGUUGGACACAUGUUAAGGUCAUCAGAGGUCAUUCUCCAGUGAAGAUUAAAGGUGAGGUAUUUGUCUAAUUGCAAGAGUGUUUUCCCAACUUUACCCUAAUUAGGGACCAAAAUCAAACUUCAAUUAGUGAAAAAAAGUAAAAUCAUUUGUGUAUUUAAAUUUAUGUUGAAUUCAAUGUAAAUUUCAUAAAAAAUUUGUUUUUUCGAUCCACUUUAAAUUCAACAUACUAAUAAAUUAUUUAUUCAUUAAAUCUUGGUAUAUGUAAAAUUACAUUUACAAUGACUUUAACGUCAAAUCAAACAUGCAAGUAAACAUGCAAGUAAUUAACCCCAUAUAUUUAUUGUAUUUAAUGAAGAUGUGAAUGUGAUAGAGGCAUCUUCUAGUUUUAACUUUUAAGUCUCGUGAGUGGUUCUAGGAAUGAUGUGAGCAUGCUAUAAUGCUACAUACUACCAUAAUACUCUUCCGCGUCUGAUUCAUUGAUGCUGAGUGGGUUGAGAGUGAGAGAUUAAGAUAGCCGAUCCAAAAUUUCCAUUCACUCAACACAAACAAACAACAUCAACAAUCAUCAUACAUGGUAGUAAAAAACUGCCAUCCUUUGCUUCUGUAUGGUUUUGGUUUUAUUCAAAGUUAAAAACCACCGAUUCUCCUGAAACCAACACAAACCGAUUCUCACACACGCAUCUUCUUUUAUAAGAACCCACCAACCAGUUACUCGUUUGCACAGGAAACCGCUUUUCUCAUUUGUUUCCUUUGUACUUGUCUCUGCAACUUCAUACCAGGGCUCAUGAUGCAAGACUGAGCUAGUGGGCAAUUAAAGAGGUACGGUGAAAAAGAUAGCCCCACUCCUCAUAAAUUUAAAGAGAAAAGAAAAGAGUGAGAUAGGCUUUAUGAUAUGAUGAAUUUUGAUCAAUGAUCAUUCAUCACCAUCUCCACCGUUUCUUUCCAUUUUCCCUUUUUACGUUUUUGUGCUGAAAAUGGGGUACACUGUUAGAGGCGGGACCAGUUUUGUUUCAUCUUUACUCUUGUGGGUCUUCUUUUGCAUUUCAUUAUUAUUUGAGUUGAGUUUCGAAAAUAUUGAACCACUAACAAUUAUGAGACUAAUUCUGUCUGGAUUUAUAUAUCAUAUUAAGUGUUUGUUUGAUUUUCAAUUUCUAAGUGCCUAUUUGGUUUUCAGUUGGGUGAAUGUGAAAGCACAUUCACUCAACCCAGCAAGUGAAUUCCGUUGGUUGAAUGUGCAUUGGAAAUCGUGAUCUCGAAUUCCAAUGUUUCAAACGCACUUCUUAACUGAAAACCAAACAGACACUAAGUGUUUCACUUAAUGGAGUUCAAAACUUCUUUCAUGUUUAAAGCAUUGAAAUGUGCGAUUUCGAAUUUCAAUGCAUCAAAUAUACUUCCAAACUGAAAACGAAACACAACGCAUAAACUGAUGUAAGUAGGUUUUCUUCCAUUAAACAUGGUAUUUAUGGAUUGAAACUAGAACUAAAUACUCAGUUAUCUGCCAACUGUGUUGAAUCCUGAUAGGCGGCGCGAGUAAGCGGUAAUAAUAAUAAUUGAAGGUGAAAAAAUAGACAUAAAUGCAAGGAAUUGAAAGGGAGAAAUAAAGGAAGCCAAAAGAAGGAACAAGAAUACAAAAAACUCAUCUUUGUUCUGGUGUCUGAUAGCAUGCACGUCUGGUCCUGUGAUCAUGACCACUGAGACUCUCUUUGCAUGUCGUUUUUCACCCUCUUCGUGAUUCUCUCUUCUCACAGAGGAGAAGAACGGAAGCCGAGAAACCCGGGGAAAAAGUGAAACCCCUCUCUCACUCUCACACUCUCACUCACUUUUUUUUUCACUUUCAAUUUUCUAUAUUUGUUUCUGCAACUUUGUCACAGAGGUUUAAGAUCACAGUGUUCUAUUCAUGGAAACUUACUUGCAAUUCAUUGUUUCUUGCUUUCAGUAGAACACUGGAUUUCACUGCAGUUUUCCUCUUUCAAGCUGCUGAUGAUGUUUGCCUCGUUGAAUCCAUGGCAGUGUCUUUGUGAAACUCUUGUCCUUUCAGGUGAUUUCUAUAAUCUAAUCUCUCUCACGCAUUUUCACAAACACUUGGAACACUGUUCUGAAUUUCUGAGAUUUUCUGUGUUUUGGUUUCACAGUGAGAGAUCUAGAGUAAUAGUUGGUGACAACAACAAGCUCUCAUCAUGACAGAUUCUGGGUCUUCAUCAUCUCCAGCUGAAAAUCACAGGAAAUCUGGUUCUUCUUUCUUCAAUUCUCCAAGGUUGUUCACUAAUCUGUCACCAAAAAGUUUCAAUGAAGCUGAAACUAUGAUGAGUCCUACUUCCAUACUCGACAGCAAACCAUUCUCUGGGUUGAAGAACCCGUUCUGGUGUGAAUCAAACAGCCCCAGAACACCAGGGGGUGGUGAAGUCAAGCGUUGCUGGGAGAAUUUGGACUCCAAAGGUGUUGGUCUUGGCCUUGUUGAUGCUCUUGUUGAUGAUCACAAACAUGGUGAAGUGAAUUCAAAAUCUGAGAGCAGAAUGGUUCUGUUUGGAUCUCAGCUGAAGAUUCAGAUUCCUCCUCUAACACCCACACCAACUUUUUCCAGUGCUGAUUUUGCCAUCAAGACGAGGAAUUCUCAGUUGGAUUCUUCAUCUGGAAGCUUUUCACUGUCUCCUAUGGGGAAAUAUCCAUCUGGGUGUGCCAAUUCUCAUCAAGUCUUCACUGGGUGUCUCUCUGCUAGUGAAAUGGAGCUCUCUGAGGACUACACUCGUGUGACUUCGCAUGGUCCUAACCCGAGAACUACUCACAUAUUUGAUAAUUGCAUCAUUGGGAGUAGUUGCUUUGGUGCUGGAUCAUGCUCUGCUGCUUCUGCCAUGGAAAAUGGGUGUUUUCCUCAUCACACAAGCUAUUAUCCAUCUGAGAGCUUUCUCAGCAACUGCUUUUACUGCAAAAAGAAUCUUGGCCAGGGUAAAGACAUCUACAUGUACAGGUAAUUUUGCUUAUUCUUUAUCCCCAUGGAUGAUCAGAUUUUGAGUGCUGAUAAUAUCAGAAUCAGAACUGUCAAGUUCUUUUUCUUUCUAUCUAUGAAAUAAAAUUUGGUUUGCAUGUUGAAUUUUACAUCUGAAUUAAUAGAUCAUUUGGCUCAUGUAUGUUAUGUGGUGUAAACUUUGUUAAUAUCUGGUCAUCAAAGGGUAAAGUUAUGUUUCUGCAGGAAAUUGAAUUAGAUAUCAUGAUUAACAAGGCUGGCCUUAAUUUAUCUUGCUAAUUUUUACUAAGAAAUUCAGUAUCAUUUUGUCUUCUUAGGAUCUUUGGCCUUGUCAAUGGUUAAUAUAGCAAAAACCAUUCCAAUUUAGCUAACUCAAGGGGCUGUUUUGUAUUGAAAAUGAUUCUCUAAUUGUAAUAAACAAUGGCAAUAAAUUUUAGUUUGGAAGUGUGCUUUGAUAGUAUGUGUCUGAUUAGAGUCAUUCCUGAAAAGAAUGACUCAAAAUGGAAGUGUGCUUUGAUAGUGUGUGUCUGAUUUGAGUCAUUCCUGAAAAGAAUGAUAAAAGUUUCAUAUAGAUCUUCAAUCUAAUUGGAUGAUGUUGUUUUGCAGGGGUGAGAGGGCAUUUUGCAGCCAUGAAUGCCGUUACCAGGGGAUGCUGUUGGAGGAAGGGAUGAGCAAAUUGGAAGCUGAGGAUUUUUAUAUGACUUAGUUAGUUCCAAUCCCUUAGCUCCCCAUCCAAACAAAACCAUUCAACUUUCCUCCAAAUGUCUUAAGAAUAAUACACCCUCUUCAUUUUUAGUUUUCUAGAUUCAUUUCUAGGACACAAAAUAGUCCUUGGAAAUCCUGGAUCACUGUACCUGGUUUUGAUCUUUCUUUCAGCUUCUCAACCUCUCUAGAUAAAGAUGUGUAGAAGAUAGAGAUGAACUGAACUGAAAGGCUGAGAUGCUGUUGAGGUGCUUUUGUUGAAAUGAUGAAUCAUGGGAUUGCUUUUGGCUUGUCAACAGUUUUUGUCUUGAAUUGAUUGCAAUGAUCAUUAUCUAUGACUUCAGCUUGCAUUAUCUUUGUUUAUUUUUUAUGAAAGUAAUAAUACUAUAAUGACGCACCUAGGACCAACUACAUCAUCUCAAGUAGAUUCUUUAUUUUUGCGUAAUUUUUAAUUUUUUUUUGUCCUUGUAGCACAUUUACAUACAUGAUGAUAGGAGCUACUAUUUUACAAAUCAUUUGUUUUCUUACAUAUAAUCAGUAGAUUUGUAUAUAGUUUCUGAGGGACUGCAGCACAUGAUGAAAGUUUUACAAAGGAACAGCUUUCUGACAUGUUCCGGGGAAUAAUUCUGGGUCAUUUUCCAAAAGGAGAAUUAGAUUAUGAGACCAAUUAGAAGUGGUUAUAUUGCUAAAUGAGUGAAGAUGACAGGAACUAGUUAAAGUAAGUGCUAGUGUAGUUAAAAAUGCAAACCACAUCUUUGUCCGUAUUUAACUAUUUAUCUUCUUUUUACCAGAACAUGCAGUUUCUUUGAAGAAAGAUUCGAUCAGGCACAGCAGUAUUAUUGGGGUCAUUCUAAUUUUACUCCUACUCCCACUCCUGGGUGGGGGUGGUACAACUUUUCCUAUUACUAUUACAAGGAGAUAGGGUAGAGGUAGAAAGAGAUGUGGGAGAAAAUGGUGACAUGAUGAAGAAAGGUAGAGAGAAAAAAGUAUUAUAAAAAGGUGUUAUAGGAAGGAAAAGUAUUGCUCAUUAUUUUAUUUCCCAAUACACUUUAUUAAGUCUUUAGUGCUUUCUUUUCAAAGUUUGGCAAUCAUAUUAAGGCAUAAGUUAAGUUAAACAGCACUUGUAGAACAAGAGAAUCGAACCCUAGGGAGCAUUACAGCAUAGCACAACAGAUAUCUAUUACAGCACAAGAUAGUAUGCUCUAAUCCACUUGGGAUACAGAAAACACAAACAAGGAAAAGUGGAAAACCACACAUAGAAGUGAUAAUAAGAAUUCACCGUUAGAUCUAUUAGUGAAAAACUGAACGGCUUAGAACCCGUUUGGUUUGUGGUUUGGCCACCUAAAUGAACAAGUUUGAAACCACUCCAAAAUGUACGUGAAAAGGUUCACUCAAGUUCAUUCGUACAUUAGAUUCCAAGGAAUUAACAUGUUGAAAAGUGAAAUAACAAAGAGAGAAGAAGAAGAUGAAUUUGUACCUAUUGGCUUGCCAGGUUUGAUAGCUGCAGCACAUGGAGCCGGAGCCAUUUACGUCAAAUCCUGAUUAGUCCCUUGACAAUGAUACCGGACCAAACUCCUUCCCAAUUAUUAAUGCGCUGAAAAUUACUUAGCCCAAAGGAAAAUAAUACCUUUUUCCUAACGGGCUUCAAACUGGACCCAAAAAUACAAGAGGCCUUGAACCACUGAACUAUUAGAUACUUCUAAGUUUGAAGUUCUAACUCCAACCCAUGACCCAACCCAUAACCCUUGACUAAGGCCCAAGAAAACUGAUUGAGUGAACGAAUCCAAUUUUUUUUAGUUUAAACCACAUCUUACUUUGAUAAUCAUGCUUAAAUUGGAUAUGACUUCUAUAAACUGAAAAACUCUCAUCAUCAAGUACUUAAUACACUACUAAUGAUAAUUGAUUUCCUUGAGUAAAGUCUCGAGUUUGAGUCUUGUAUUUCUAUUGUAAGAGUUAGCUCACCUUAAUGUGAAUGUUCCGGGUCGAAUAAAAUUGUUUCCAAAAGAGGAUGGAGUAAGCACCCACAAAGUAUUAAACGGAGUUGAUACCUCUAGUUAAAGUGGAGUAAGUGUGCCAGGUGACCACUGACCACCAAGGUAGUCAGAAGCGGGAUUUAGAUGUAAAGCGUAGAGGGUCCAAAAGCGUAAAGCGCUAAAGCGUAGGCUUUAGCCGCUUUAGCCGCUUUUGCCAAAUAUAUUUAUAUCAUAUAUAUAUUUACACUUAUAAAUAUUUAUAUGCAUAUAAAUGGUAUAAUUGACAAAAAGUCUUAACAAUAUCAUACAUAGAACAUAAAAUACCAUAACUCAUAAUUGAUGAUUCAUACAAAAGUCAUAAAAUAAGCUUCCAAAACAUAAUUUUCAUUACCCAUUAACAAAACUCAUUUCACAAAGAGAGAACAAAGAGAGGUGUUCUUAGUAAGCCAUUAACUCAUUCGAACAGUGACAACCCAUUGUAAUAGAAGAACAGAGAACAGAGAGGCAGAGUCGAAGGAAGAAAUAGAAGAAGAAUUGAUGAACAACACACACACACACAGAGAGAGAGAGAAGGAGAGAGAGAGUGAGAGAGAGAGAAUUGAAGAGGAACAAACAUGCAAAUUGUGAGUCGCCGGCGGCGGCGGCUGAGACGGCGAAAGAGCAGCACAGAAUCGCAAGAGGCAGAGGCUUCAACCGACGAGAGAGAGGCUCAAGAUAGAAGGGGAACUAUUGAAAAUUAGAAUUAAAACCCGUAAUUUUAGCAAAACGGGUCAAAAAACCCGGAAACAAGCGAACAUGGCUAAAGCGGCAGAAGCUUCAAAAUCGCGCUUCUGCCACGCUUCUGCGCUUUCAUCACGCUUUUGCCACGCUCCCGCUGAUUUUCGCCUUAGGGGACGUUUAGUCAAGGUUGGGAAAUACAUUCCCGUGAAUGUGGAGGUAGGUGUUGUUCCUUUGUUAUGAUUGUCUGCAUUUUAGCUAAUGUUAUUUGAGUACUGCUGUUUGUGCUGUUUGUCUGCAUUUUAGCUAAUGUUAUUUGAGUACUGCUGUUUGUGCAUGUUUGGCCUUCAGUUCAUGUUUUAGGCAAAAUUUUCCAAAGGGGGAGAUUGUAGUUCUUUUGAUUGGCUGCAUUUUGCUCAAAACAUGAUGUGCAACCAUAUGUUCCAACAUCUGGAACAACAUGGUGUGUUUACGUAUGUUGGUGGUUCAAUCGCUGAAAUCAAGUUAUUUGUUGGGCUGCUGACUGUAAGGGGAUUCAGAAGAUUUAUCCUAUGCUGUGCGUUUUAUCUUCUGAAGGCGUGUUUGUUUUAAUCUUGGCUGAAGUAACAAGAUUGAUAACGUGUGAACCAAGUAUAUCUCAAAGUUUGAAUUUAAACUUACUUGGUUCUGUUAUUUUAUUCUGGUAAGAGUUGAUUCCUUGAAGAUUCUUUCCAGAAGUGCUGUUGUGGACUCUAUGACGUUCGGCCCAUUGAAGAUCCAAGCCUCACGUGAACGUCUACAUAAAGGAGUUUAUAAACCCUAGCAAAACAGGGAUUCUGAGUGUGAUAUACUGAUCUUAGGGUUUAUUAUUUGAGUCCUGUUGUGAGUAUUGUAACAACUUAGUGAUUCCUGUGCUAUUGCAAGUACUAAGUUGAUAUGUUUAGUUGAGUUGUAAUCUCAUCAAACUUGUUUAUUGAUAAACAUGUCUUGAUCGCUGUGGCAGUGGUCUUUAGGGGUUAGAGAAAGUUUUCUCAUAGCUUAGAGGAGAAGGGCUAAGCUAGAUUCACUUGUUGUAAUAGUGGUAGACAUUGAAGAGGCUCUAUACUAAGGGGGAGUACUUAGGUAUAGGAGGGACUUUCAUGUAUGACCUGAGAGCUAUUACUAAGAUAGUGGAUUGACUCCUGGAUUGGUAUCCUCCAGACGUAGGUGUUUUGACACCGAACUGGGUUAUCAAUUCUCUGUGUUUUUUUCGUUGAUUUAAUUUAUGUACUGUUGUGCAAUUGUCGAACCAAUUGUCCCAACAUCGCGUUCGACAUCUGUCCUGUGCGAGAACCAGAAUUUCAAUUGGCAUCAGAGCAGGCACCCUAUUCUGUUUGGGUGAGUUCCAGGGAAUAUGUAUUCUGGUUUCAUGGACAACAUUAAAGAAGGAGGAUCACUCCUUAGGCCACCUUUAUUGGAUGGUACCAACUAUGAUUAUUGGAAGGCUCGUAUGGUUGCUUUUCUUAAAUCUAUGGACAGCAAAACAUGGAAAGCAAUUGUGAAAGGUUGGAAACAUCCAGUUGUAGUAUCUUAAGAAGGAACAUUAACAGAAGAAUUAAAGCCCGAAGAAGAGUGGACGAAAGAAGAAGAUGUAGAAGCUCUUGGAAACUCCAAAGUCUUGAAUGUUAUUUUCAAUGGAGUAGACAGAAAUAUGUUUAGGCUAAUCAAUACAUGCACUGUGGCUAAGGAUGCCUGGGAGAUUCUCAAGACAACUCAUGAAGGCACAUCAAGAGUUCGAAUGUCAAGACUUCAGUUGCUCACAACCCAGUUUGAAAAUCUUAAAAUGAAGGAAUAUGAAUCCAUCUCUGACUUCCAUAUACGCUUGCGUGAUCUAGCCAACACAUCCUUUGCGUUAGGAGAAAAAAUGUCUGAAGAAAAGUUGGCAAGAAAAAUCAUCAGGUCUCUACCUAAGAAGUUUGAUAUGAAAGUUACUGCCAUUGAAGAAGCUCAAGACAUCAGCAACAUCAAGGUUGAUGAACUCAUUGGGUCUUUACAAACAUUUGAGAUGUCUCUCAAUGACAAAUCUGAUAAGAAGAAGAAAAGUAUAGUAUUUGUUUCCAACGCUGAAGAGGAUGAAGAGAAAUCUAGCAAAGGCAGAGGGGUCCAGUGUCUUGAAUGUGAAGGGUAUGGUCAUAUCAAAUCAGAAUGUCCAACGUUUUUGAAGAAACAAGGAAAAGGGAUGAUGGUCACUUGGUCUGAUGAAGAUUCUGAAGGAGAUAAAACUAGAAAUCAAGUCUUGGGACUUACUGUGAAAUACAAUUCUGAGACUGAGUCCAGUGAUGGAGAAAUUUCAGAAGAAGAACUUGCUGAAACAUACAAGUUGUUAUUCAAGAAAUGGCAAGAAGCGUGCGACUAUGGUAAGAAGCUGGAGAGAACUGUCAAAGGUCUUGAAAAUGAAAAACAUAAUCUGCUGGAUAUCAAUAACAAUCUUCAAGAGGAAGUAUCUGUGCUGAAAUCUAAACUUGAAGGUAUGAUAAAAUCUGUACGUAUGUUGAAUAAUGGUACUGAUAUGUUUGAUCUGAUGUUAGAAACAGGAAAGACAGCCAAGGAUAUGAAAGGUUUGGGAUAUGAGAGUGACUCUGCACCAGAAGAAUCCAAAAAGAUCACUCGUAAGUUUGUUCCUGCAGAAAGAAAAACUGAAUUCAAGAUGUCAAACCAGAUGCCACAACAUUGUGUCAAACAUGUGUAUCAACAAAUACCAUAUACUUACCCACAAGGCAAGAAGGCAAAGAACUUGAGUUGGAGAUGCCAUCAUUGUGGAAGAUAUGGACAUAUAAGGCCCUACUGUUACAGAUUGUAUGGAUUUCCUCAUCAACAUGAUCAACCAAGGACCAAUUCACGUGUUCAAGCAAGGAAAGAGUGGAAACCUAGAGGGCUUAAAGAGAAAAAGAUUGUGAAGGCUCCUAGUCAUUUUCCCAGAACCAACAAGGAUGUUGCUGCUGUACUAAAUAAGAAGGAAGGAAAGAAGGAAAAUCUGCAUACCCAGACAAGAUCUUUGAAGUGGAAGAAAGUUUCUGUUAAUGAUUCAGAGACAAAUGUUGAACCAGAUGUGCAGAACAUUGUGCCCACUGCUAGAAAACAGAUAAGAGGCAAGGGAAUUCCUGUUAAUGUUCCCCCUGCUCCUCUGGAUAAUGUGUCAUUCCAUCCUGAAGCAAAUGUUCAGACGUGGAAAUCUGUGUGUCAGGAAAAGAUUGGCUGUGAGAAAGAGUGUAGUCAAGAAGCUAUGAAGUGCAAGGAUAUCAUGGAAUUUCUUGCUGAUGUUGGGUUGUCAUAACUCUAUGACUAUCUGUUAUGUGCACUUUGGCUGCCUACAAUGGUCAUCUCUGGUAAGCAUUUGUGGAUUUAGUCUUAACAUGUUUCCUGGUUUCAUCUAACUACCUUUGUCAAAUUGUGCUAAUAAGGGGGAGUAAUAGUAUGUGUAGUUUGUGCUGCUGUGUUUGUGUCUGUGGUAGCUUGCUACUGUGAAGAGGUUUGCUGGUCAGUUGUGCUUGUUUUAGAGCAGCAUCUUGCUGCUUACAGGGUGUUAAGUGUGUGCUGCUGUGCUGAACUCUGAUAUGGUUUUAAUACUGCACUGAGUAUGGAGUAUGGUUCUGAGAUUGUGUUUGUGCAUAGCUACUGCAAAUAACUAUGUUGAAGUGUGCUACCUUGAUAUAUUCUGGUUACUCUUCUCUGAUGAUUCAAGCUGCAAGUAUUCUGAAGAGUUUUUAUGGUAGUGGAUUGUAUUAGCUAAAAUUUGACAAAGGGGGAGAUUGUUGUUCCUUUGUUAUGAUUGUCUGCAUUUUAGCUAAUGUUAUUUGAGUACUGCUGUUUGUGCUGUUUGUCUGCAUUUUAGCUAAUGUUAUUUGAGUACUGCUGUUUGUGCAUGUUUGGCCUUCAGUUCAUGUUUUAGGCAAAAUUUGCCAAAGGGGGAGAUUGUAGUUCUUUUGAUUGGCUGCAUUUUGCUCAAAACAUGAUGUGCAACCAUAUGUUCCAACAUCUGGAACAACAUGGUGUGUUUACGUAUGUUGGUGGUUCAAUCGCUGAAAUCAAGUUAUUUGUUGGGCUGCUGACUGUAAGGGGAUUCAGAAGAUUUAUCCUAUGCUGUGCGUUUUAUCUUCUGAAGGCGUGUUUGUUUUAAUCUUGGUUGAAGUAACAAGAUUGAUAACGUGUGAACCAAGUAUAUCUCAAAGUUUGAAUUUAAACUUACUUGGUUCUGUUAUUUUAUUCUGGUAAGAGUUGAUUCCUUGAAGAUUCUUUCCAGAAGUGCUGUUGUGGACUCUAUGACGUUCGGCCCAUUGAAGAUCCAAGCCUCACGUGAACGUCUAUAUAAAGGAGUUUAUAAACCCUAGCAAAACAGGGAUUCUGAGUGUGAUAUACUGAUCUUAGGGUUUAUUAUUUGAGUCCUGUUGUGAGUAUUGUAACAACUUAGUGAUUCCUGUGCUAUUGCAAGUACUAAGUUGAUAUGUUUAGUUGAGUUGUAAUCUCAUCAAACUUGUUUAUUGAUAAACAUGUCUUGAUCGCUGUGGCAGUGGUCUUUAGGGGUUAGAGAAAGUUUUCUCAUAGCUUAGAGGAGAAGGGCUAAGCUAGAUUCACUUGUUGUAAUAGUGGUAGACAUUGAAGAGGCUCUAUACUAAGGGGGAGUACUUAGGUAUAGGAGGGACUUUCAUGUAUGACCUGAGAGCUAUUACUAAGAUAGUGGAUUGACUCCUGGAUUGGUAUCCUCCAGACGUAGGUGUUUUGACACCGAACUGGGUUAUCAAUUCUCUGUGUUUUUUUCGUUGAUUUAAUUUAUGUACUGUUGUGCAAUUGUCGAACCAAUUGUCCCAACAUCGCGUUCGACAUCUGUCCUGUGCGAGAACCAGAAUUUCAGUAGGGAAUCACAUUCCCGCGUUUGUUAUUAGGUUGGUAAUUGGAUGCAAUGGCAUAAAACCAGUGUUAUCAGACUCGACUCGAACCGGCCGGUUCAACCGGUUGAGCCGGGAACCGGACCCUAAGCCGGUUCGAGCCGAGCUUCGGAUCGGUCAUGCAAUACACCCGCUGCGAACCGGAAAAAACCGGCCGGUUUAGUAAAAAACCGGCGACUCGGCCCUUACGGUUGGACCGGUUCGUUAUGUAAAAAAAAAACUGAAAUACAGAAACAGAACUGUCGUCGUUUCCUUCCGUAUAGCUGUGUAGGGUUCCUUAAACUGAAAACCCAUUCUUCCUUGCAAUCCAACAUCUCGUACGCUUCUUCACUCUUCAGCCUUCGCCGCCACCAGGGGCGGAUUUACCGCCCGGCUAGCUAGGGCCUUUGCCCAAGCUCUGAAAAAAAAAACAAUUUUUUCUUUGGAACAGGUCAGUUUUUGGGAAAAAAAGAAGAAGAGAAAAUGGGCAAAAUUGAAAGGUUAAGGUGAAAUUAGAAAAGAGAGGGCGCCAGCAAGAAGGGUCAUGGGGAGAUUAAAUGUGGUGUGGGGGAUUAUUUAGAAAUUGUUAGAAAUCUGCAGAAGAGAUGAAACAGUUGUGCCUGGAAGAAGAAGGAAACGGCUGGAAACAGAUGGAGAAAGAGAAAGAAUAAGAUUGACAUUUAGGGUUUUGCAAUUUUUUAAAGAAAACAAAAUAAAGGCCCUGCUGUGUGUCCACGGGCCUGGCUUAUUGUUGGAUCUUUGGCCCUACUGUGUGGACGUGUGUGUUGGGCUUGGCACAUGCUUAUUGUUUUGUUUGUUUGUUUGCUUCUCUUAAUGAAUGAACAAAACCACUCCUCCCAAACGUGCCUGCUGUUAUUUUUUUUUUCCAUUCUUGUUUUUUUAUGAAUAUAUUUUGAUAUGGUACUAUUGACUUAUCGUGAUGGUUGUUUGUUUCCAUUUAAAUUAGGCACCUUCAAAUUCAUAUAUUAAUACAAAGUUUUAAAAUUUAUGGUGGUUGUAUGAGAUUAAAUUUAUAUAUCUUUAAUAUAUUGUCAUUAAUUUAGUGAGAUAAAAUUAAUAACUUUUCUAACAGAAUACAUUUAUAUAUUAUUUUUUGAAACAACUUAUAUAUAUAUAUAUAUUAUUCUUAAUUUAAUAUAUGGUAUUUGUGUGUGUGGUAUUUGUGAUAUUUUAUGGUAUUAUGAAUUUUUUUAAUUUUUUUUAGUGUCGACCGAGUCAAACGGUUCAACCAGUGACCCAAUGGUUGAACCAUUGACUCAUUGACCCAGUGCCUCGACCGAGUCGAUCACCGGUCCGAGUCUGAUAACACUGCAUAAAACAUUUAUGGGAAUGACAUAACUUCCAUAACUUCCGUCAUUUGAUUCCCAUGAAAUGAGUUGGGAAUCUUGCAUUCCCAUAGGAAAGUGAAUGUAACUUCCCACUACUCACAAAUUCCAUCAUUUUUUUUUAUCAUUUUGAAUUUUUGAAUUUUUAUAUUAAAUAAAAUUUAAAAAUAUUCCCGAGAAUCCUAAAUCCUAACCAAACACACUUUAAGUCUUACUCAGGAAUGAUAUUCUCACUAAUCGGAUUCCCAAAAAUAUUAUUCUCAAGAAUGUAUUUCCCAACCUUCUAAACGCCCCCUUAGUUGCGCUUUGAAGCACAUAGCCACCUCAAGCGCGCUUUAGUGCACUUUAGCGCUUCAAAGCGCGCUUCUGACUACCUUGCUGACCACUGACCAAUGCAAUUGUUGCCAUGACAAUGUCCAAUUUUUGGCUAAAAAAAAAAGACAAUGUCCAAUUUAAAGCACCGCCAUUCAUAAGAAGAUAACAAUACCAUUAUUAAACAGGAUAAACUAAAAAAAACAAAAAAAACACACUAUGGCUGGUGCUGUGCUGCAAGCUGUGACUGUGAGAGUGUGAGUGACUCUGAAUCUGAAUUAGAUUUGCAUUAAUUAAUAAAAAUAAAAUGACUUCUGUAUAUAUUUCAUCAUUAAUACCGUUCUUACCCUCCAAAUUUCUUAAUUUUUACCCCUCCCACCUACGCCCCGCCCCGAUUGUCGCGCACUCACCGCCAUUCCGCCGGAGAACCCAUCGAAACCAGCCGGAAUCUGAAAUGUCCGGCACCGUUCCGAGGUCAGGGUCCUCUUUCCGGCUCCACAACGAUGAUGAUGCCGACCCUUUCCUCGCUCCUCGAACCGGUAAGUAAAGUUCAAAAUCCUCCUCCUUCCAAUUCGCGUCUUUCAUACCGUUUCUUCAGUCAAGCUUGUUUGCAAAAUUCUAUAAGUUUCUAAUUCUAAGUAGUUUAUUAUUUAGAUUAAGCUUCAAUAUAUAUUUAAAAGAUGAACAUAUAAAUGUGUAUGCAAAUAUGCUAAGUUUUUAUUGUAUGAAGGAUUAGCUUACAGAUUAAAUUGGCACCUUUGCUUGUUUUAUCCAAUAUGUAGUAUGCAACUUCUAAAAAAAGGUAAAUUAUUGGUUGCUGAAUUGUUGGAUUUUUAUGGCAGGUGCAGGAAAAGGGGAUAUGGUAACAACUGAGACAGAGAUAGAGGUUUCCUCUGCUAGUAAAAUUGAGAAGAGGAAAGGCAGAUAUGGUAUGGGUAGCAUGACGUUGUUUGGGGUAGAGUUAUCCCCAGAUACUGUUGCUAUUGCCAUGGUAUAUUUUGUUCAAGGAGUUUUAGGACUUGCAAGGCUAGCUGUCAACUUUUAUUUAAAAGAUGAUUUGCAUCUCGACCCUGCUGAGGUAUGUCUUCUUAGUUAGUUAUUCGGCUCAUGGUUUCAUUAGUAUGUAAUUCACUCAUGUUUUGAUUAUUUUUGUUUGAAUUUUAUUAGUUGUGCCCGUUUACCUAAUCCAAGGUGUGAUCAGUUAAAUGUUAGCCUUUGCUUCUGUGUGCUAAAAUAAUAGGGAUUCACCGAUUCAGUUAAUGGAGAAAGAAGUGAGACGAAAGAGACUAUGAAAUAUGGAUAUUAUUCUCUUGUAUAUAAUGAUGUGAGGAUAACAUGUGAUGUGUUAACUCUAGUAGUCCUUAUCAAUCAAAUCUAGAAACAAACCAGGAAAUAUAAUGAGAUAUGGAAACUGCUUUUAAGAGAUCACACAAGAUACUUUGAGAUAUUCUAAGGUACAAUAGUAAUGUUAUGAAUGAUUUCUUAGAUAUUCUUACUGGGUCAAAUGUAGAAACCAAAAAGUGAUGGUGUUUCCUUGAGAUUCUGUUUUUUUUUUCUUUAUGGAAUCAAUUAUACAUUAGCUUUUGAAGGACUGACUUGUGACAUAUAUUGACUAGGCAGCUGUGAUUACUGGUUUAUCUGCAUUACCUUGGCUUGUCAAACCACUUUACGGGUUUAUUAGGUGAGUCUAAACUGCAUCAAUUUUCCCUCUUCCUUUAGUGGUAACUUAAUUAUUUUGCCAUCAUUUGUCUCUCACAUGGACUAAUGCUUUCAUUGCUUUGUUAUUGAAACUAUAACUGUGGCAUGCAGUGAUUCUAUCCCCCUUUUUGGUUAUCGGAGAAGGUCAUACCUAGUUUUAUCAGGGCUACUUGGUGCACUUUCCUGGAGUUUGAUGUGUACUCUUGUUGACAGCAAAUAUAGUGCUGCUAUUUGCAUACUUCUCGGAUCUCUUUCUGUUGCCUUCUCAGAUGUAGUGAGUGUCUCCUGCUUUGUAAUUCACACUGUUUUUUUCUAAUCUGGAAUCAUUUAAUUAUGGAUAAUGUUUGUCAAUUCCAUGUGCUGAUAAUGAAUGAGAUUUUUAAGGAUAUUAUUGAGCGCUUCACCAAAAAAAAAUCUUACAUGGUAAAAAUGGAGAUGAUGGAAUUUAAUAUUUUCAGAAUAUCAACUUAUUCAUUUAAAUUUAUGUUAUCAACAAAUUUGUUAUCGGUCUAUCAUUCUUUUUAUUGUGAAUUGACAUAUUGAAGUACCUUUGUGGCUUUUAAUUCUUCCUCAUUGUGCUUCAAGCUUUGACGCACUUACCUUUCAUACAAUUUCAUCUGUCUUGCUCCUAGAAGCCUAUGAUAUUAUGACUUUAGUGUUUUAUCAUCUUCUAUAAGUUGAACGUUUUGAGAACUAUGUCAGACACUAAGCUGUCUUUUAGGUUGUAGAUUCGAUGGUUGUGGAGAGGGCGCGUGGUGAGUCACAAAGCACUUCAGGUUCUCUGCAAUCUUUAUGUUGGGGUUCUUCAGCUUUUGGUGGAAUUGUGAGCUCCUACUUCAGUGGGUCUUUGCUGGAUAAAUAUGGAGUAAGGUACUGAAAGAAGUUUGUGAAUCAAGAUACUUUUGAUUACUGAUGGCAGUUUUUUUUUUUUUCUAAUAAAUGUGCACUGUUCCAGGUUUGUUUUUGGUGUCACAGCAUUGCUUCCACUAAUAACUUCCGCAGUUGCUGUUCUUGUUAAAGAACAACCUAUGCUUGGUACAACAAGAGGGCAAAACCUUCCUUUUGCCAGGCCUGAGUUUUUGGAAAGUUCAAAACAAAGCAUUAUUGAGCUGUGGGGUGCUGUACGACAGCCCGGUGUUUUUCUCCCCACUCUGUUUAUUUUCUUGUGGCAAGCAACUCCGCAAUCUGACUCUGCUAUGUUCUACUUUACGUACGUCCAUUAUGUGAAUAGACCAUUAUUUACUGUGUGUUAUGAGCUUCAUGUCAUGUUGUUCUCUAAUCAGUGCAUAUCCUUACUUCAACUUUAAAUAAUCCUUAUCCCUUUCAGCACAAAUUCUCUUGGUUUCACUCCUGAGUUUUUAGGACGUGUCAAGCUUGUUACCUCCAUUGCAUCUCUGCUUGGUGUUGGACUUUAUAAUGGAUUUCUGAAGAGUGUUCCUUUACGGAAAAUAUUUCUUGCAACUACCCUUUUAGGUUCAGCUCUUGGUAUGACUCAGGUUAGUUGUAUGUUUCAUAGCUUGUUUAGAUAUUUUCAAUCUGAACAGAGUUUUCUAAACAUCUUUCUAAUGUUUUUAACCUCUUGUCAGGUUUUCCUGGUUACUGGACUAAAUCGGAAAUUGGGCAUAAGUGAUGAGUGGUUUGCAGUUGGUGAUUCACUAAUUCUCACAGUCUUGAGUCAGGUUAUCAUUAUCUUCUUUUAUUCAUUAGUCAUAUUACAAAUACUGCUCUUUGGGAAACACACUUCCUCUAUCUAGUAUAGUUGUUAUUGAUAAGGUUUCUGGUGUUUGACAAUAAAUAAAUAGAGUGGGCGCUAAGGUCCACAUUGACUAGAGAUAUGCUCGUAAUAAUCCUUAUAAAUGGUAGAGCAAUCUUUACCCCUGAGCUUACUUUUGGGGUAGAGUUUAGCAUAACCCAAAUUUUAAGUUGAUAUUAGAGUUUAUCCUAAAUUUUUUUAUUGUGCCACCCAUAAAUGAGUGGCGUGAAGAUGUGUUGAGGUCUCACAUUGACUACAGGUCUGCCAGAAAUAGUCCUUAUACUUGAAUUUGAUAAAAUAUAUCUAUAUUUCAUUGAUAAUACUUGACUUGACUACAAUAUAUAUAGACUAACAAAGAGAUAAAGAGAAACUAAAUCUAUCUAAUCCUAUCUCUAUUUAAAUAGAUAUCAUCUCUAUUUAAAUAGAUACUAAUCUAAAAUACAUAAACAAAUCUUAACUAUAUCUCUAUGAGAUAAGACUAAUAAUAAACUAAAUCUUAAUAGAUAUUCAACACUCCCUCUCAAGCUAAAGCUUACUUAGCUUUAAGCUUGUAACAAAUCGAACCCAAGAAGAAAAUUAUCUUAAUAGAUAUCCCUUAUUAAUGACGGGCUUGGCAAAUCUCUGAAUUGAAUAACCUUUCAAACUUUUAGUAAAUCCAUGGCGGCAAGAGACAACUUCUCAUACUUGAAAUUGAAUAAUCUUUCGAACUUCUGCUAAAUCCAUGGGCACGAUAAAGACAACUUCUCAUACUUGAUAUGGCUGAAAUUGAUGCAAGACAAAAACCAAUUCUUCUGGAGUGUCGUAGGGUAGCUGAGCCAGCAAACAAGGGCGAAAAACCAGCAACAAUACGCCCGAAAACAAAACAAAGCUGAAGCAACAACUCACCAACAACAACCAAACAGAAAUAAAACAUACUUGAAGUCAAUCGAUUGAUGGCUUAUAAGACAAACAAUGGUGUCAACUUUGACACAGACAACUCUCAAACAUUAGAGAGUGGGCCAACGCAACUCGCAGCUGAAGCCCUAAAACCAGAAAACCAAACAGGGUCAGCGCAACCUGCAGCUGAAGCCCUAAAACCAGAAAACCAAACAAUCGAGACAAAACAAACGAAGGUGACACUGUCACCUCCAAAACCAAACCAAACCAAAUUGCAUAAAGUCAGCCAAGAUCAUUGUAAUAAGAGCAUCUCGAACCAUGAGACGCAAACUAAGAUCUCAAACAGCGAGAAACAUCGCAGAUGAGUAAACACAGCAGACUCACGAACCAAACUAGAAGAGUUGGACCGGACGAUCACCACGGUGGCGGCACAACACCUCAAAACAGAGCCAAACAAUAAAAUCCUUUACACCGGAGAUCUAAACAAUGCAACCCUUCACCAAACAAACGAAUUACCAUUGCCAAUUGCCAAGGAGAAGAAUUUCAAUUCUUGCAAUCACAUGCAACAUUCAAAGACUAUCAAUAGUGUAGCAGCGCAAUACAAUUAGAUCCAACCAAACACUUCUUCAAUACAACCUCCACCAAACCAGCAACAAAGGGUAACGAUUGUCGAAGGUGUUGAUUGUGGUCUUUAUUAGGAUAUUUAGCAAUAUCCAACACUUCCCCUCAAGCUAGAGCAUAUAUGUCAUAUGCAUAGCUUGUAACAAAUAUAAUUAAGAUAUUUCCAGAUCUUCCCCUCAAGCUAGAGCAUAUAUGUCAUAUGCAUAGCUUGCAACAAAUAUAAUUAACUUGCGGAGAAAAGCUACUGCUGCCAAACACAAUGUUAGUGAAUCUGCGAAAUCUGAAAUUGCUCAAACUGUUGCAUCAAGGAAAUCUCAACCUUGUCAUGAACCAGAAUUGUAAUGAUGUUGGUCGAACACUUCAUCACUGUGAACACAUUAAUUUAUGAAAAACUGAUUUUGAUCGCCACAAAUGUAAUGAUCUUUUUGUGAUUUCUAUACUGAAAAUUCAGUAUAUGAAUUGGCAAAGAAGGAAAUUGACGAAGAAAUCAUAGGAGAAUCACAAGAUGAAGGGCAUUAGUAGUGUUCUUUUCCAUCAAAACUUCAAUACCACUGCUGUUGAUGAAAUAGAAAGGAAAGCUCCAACAAAAACCUCUUCUGAAGCUUUACCACCACAUAACGAUAAAGUAAGUUCACACAUGCACAUAAAUAGAAAAAUCUGAAGUAGGCAUCCAAGAACAACAAACAAUACUCUGGAUCUGGGCAAAAGGACCCCUGAAACAGCACCAGGAGGGGUAGACGACCUUGUCUGUGCAAUUGCGACGGCGAAAGGAUGCUUGGAGGGUGGCGCGAGUGUAACUCACUCGCUGAGAAGAAGACGGCGCGUGGAAGGACAUUGAUAGUGGCUGAACAUUACUAGGGUUCCAAGACAAAGGGGACCAUAAUCAGAAAGAAACGAGGCCGUAAGAAAACGGCUAGAACUAACAAGCGGAAGCAAAGUACGAAAAAUAAAUCCAGAAAGAUUUGGAAAGUCACCAUGAGGGGGCUCACGGGGGAGGAGCCCCCUCACAGCGGUAGGAUCGAAACUUGCGCUCUGAUACCAACUUGAAUUUGAUAAAAUAUAUCUAUAUUUCAUUGAUAAUACUUGACUUGACUACAAUAUAUAUAGACUAACAAAGAGAUAAAGAGAAACUAAAUCUAUCUAAUCCUAUCUCUAUUUAAAUAGAUAUCAUCUCUAUUUAAAUAGAUACUAAUCUAAAAUACAUAAACAAAUCUUAACUAUAUCUCUAUGAGAUAAGACUAAUAAUAAACUAAAUCUUAAUAGAUAUUCAACACUUAUAAAAGGUAUAAUAAAACAACCCUCACGCCUGAGCCAGUUUUUGGGGUAAAGUUAGGCCUAACCUAAAUUCUAAGAGAGGUUUCGCACAUUUAAUUUGUCUUACUCUGUUUGAACUAAAAAUUCAUUGAUGUUUCUGCCAUCACAGUUAAAAUCUAAUAUUUUCUUACUUCAAAUCUAAAAUCAACCUAACCUAUACUUUCAUAGUAUGAUUCAUGAACUUAAUCCUUCUAUAAUUUGAACAUGCUUGUAUUCCAGCUUUGUUCUUAUAGCAAGGAUUAAAGUACUUCUCCUGACAUUUGGCCUGACCUUAGACUUCAUAAUCUCGUCAAACAUCUUUUUGAGUCAUCUUAAGUCCUCUCUCUUGGACCCUUCCAUAACUUAAUAUGUAUAUUAUCCAGUCCAACUGGUUUGCCAUUAGCCAUCCUCUUGAAUGUUUCUUUUAGCGUAUUAAAUUUCAAUAGUAACAUGUGUACUUCAACAAAUAGCUUGUGGAAGUAACUCUACCACCUUUCCUUCAUAUCCUAUAUUAAUUGUCCUGUCAUUCUUUCUUUAUCUUUAGCGAGCUUACAAAUAUUUCAUUUCCCAGCUUUGGUUUCUAAGAGUUGGCGUAACCUUUCAAAUGCUCUAACUCUUAUUUGGCUCACCACCUUCUUUGUAUUUUUUGUGGCAGCUUUAUAUGUAUCUCAAUUUUCACCAUAUUUACAUGUGGACCAUGCUUUUUAGUAUUUCAUUGUAACCUUAAUCAUGCAUUGUGCUUGCAUCUCACUUCCAUGAAUCUUUAGUCUUUACCCCUCUAAAAGCCGCCAAAAGGGCCUUGCAAGAAGCAUUAGGUCACCAGAGUUCUUUUAAAAGAAGCUUUUGAGGGAUUUACCAGACCCUUAAAAUUUAUAUAUUUGUAAUAAAUUGAAGCUUCAAUUGGACAUUUGUAGUUGUAAUGUCUGAAAAGAAACCACACAUAAAUGGGGACCUUCCUUUGCAGACUGCUUAUUUGUGAUACAUGAUUUCCAUGGUUUUUUAGGGCUAAUCAUGCUAAAAUGUAGUUGCUUUUUUCUUCCUUUUUGACAUUAAAAAAGAGGGAAUCCUCAACCAGCUUUUUGAGGAUUCACGCCUUCCUUAUGCAAAAGUAAAUUUAAAGGGGGAAUAUAUUUCUGAUUAUAGUUUGGAAAUGGUAAGGCAAUAUUGAUCUUUUUUAUGAUUUAGGAGAGAUAAUUAGUUCCAGUGUAUGCCGUGAUAUAGGCAAUAUCAUCAUUCACCUCAUGAAUAACCUUUUUCUUGGGCUUCGAUCCUACCAUUCAGCUAUUAUAUAUUUUGUUUGUACACAAUAUUUUUCCUGCAUCUAAUUAGUUGUUCUUUUCAGGCUUCUUUCAUGCCUGUUCUCGUUCUAGCAGCAAGAUUAUGUCCCGAGGGAAUGGAGGCAACUCUUUUCGCAACUCUCAUGUCCGUAUCUAAUGGAGGGAGUGUCCUUGGGGGAUUGAUAGGUGCAGGCUUGACACAAGUAUUUGGAAUUACCAAGGACAGAUUUGAUAACUUGGCAGCUCUGAUAAUCCUUUGCAAUCUUAGCUCAUUAUUGCCUCUGCCUCUUCUUGGUCUUCUCCCUGAGGACAAUCCUGAUGUGAAUCCUAAGGAAAAUUCUGAUGUUGAGAUGAAGUCUAACUGAUUCUGGUUGUUUGCACAAUCCUUCCAAGGGUUGUCUCCUUACCAAGCUGUACCCAAGUUUUGCUAUCAAUGCUUGCAAAUUCAACAGACACAACUCACACAUGCAGAAAGAUAAUUUUGUAUAUAAAUGAUGCUAAAGUUGCUACCAUGGCCUUGUUUUAAGCCAUUUUGAUUAUAGGCUUGAAUAACACUCAGAUCAAAUUUCACCUCCAAACAAAGCUGACUGAUAUUGUUGCGAAAGCACUGUUUGAAGAACCUUGAAACUAUGCUUCAUAUCAUGCUCCAAAGUAAACAAAGACAGUACUGGCCAUCAACGACAAAGUACCAGUCCCGUCAGAACAUACACAGGUUUCCUUUGUACUAUACUUUCUCGUUUUUGUUUAGUCAUGUGGCCUUCUCUGUAAGAACUCGGCCUUUGUAUGUAUGAGCCAAUAAUCAUCAUUUGACAAUGGAAAUUGAGGUUCAGGCCUAUCUGUUGUGUGAUAAACUGUAAUUGGCAGUUACCUAAGGUAGGCAAAAUAUGUUUUUCUUUGUGGUUUCUUUUUCUUGUAUGGUGUGGACUGUGGAGAGAAAGUUCACUACACCCGAGUGGUAAAUCAUUAUCCUGGGUGCUUACACCAUGUUGAGUUUAUUUUGAAUCCUUCUAGAAUCACUUAUCUCUCCACAAAAGUUAUCCAUGGUAGUUUUUUUCAGAAUCACUUCCCCAAAUGUGAAAAACUACUGGGUUUUCAGACAGACACGUAGUUAAUAAUCUCAUAUAUGGUAAAAUAGAGGAUUAUACUGUUUCAUUGUUUCUAGGUACAAAAUAAUGCAUUAUUAUACUAGAGCUUUCAAUAUCAACUGGUCAGAAGUUUGAUUUUUAAGAUUUGCAAUCUUUUUUACUAAAAGGUUAAGUGUCAAAUAGAGUAGAGUAAGCUUGUAGCUUAUGAUUCAUUUCUAACUAUUUAGUAAUGUCUUAACUUGUGAAUUGCACAUCUUUGCCUCCAGAGCAAGUCCAUCUAAUGGGUAAACUUUCAGUUUACUGCAUAUAGCCAUUAGAUAUGAGUUCAGUUGCCAUCAGAAUAAAAGAUUAAUAAAAGCUAGGGGAGUAUCUAAAAUAUAAGACAAUAAUCUCGAUCCACGAGGAAGAAAAGGAGAUGAAUCCAAUCUAGCUUCUUCGGAUUUGGCGGCUUCACAUGUUGUGGAUGGUGGAUGAUGUUACAGGUAGUGUGCACAUGGUGGGUCAUUCUAUGCCUAAUCAUUGUUCACUGUUUCUUAGUCAUCCAAGUAAGUUGACAAGUGGGUCAUACAACAUACAUCAAACAAACCUUUGGAGCCAUAGUGGUCUGGUUCCUGGGCACACAAUCACAUUCACACGGGUUUACACCGCUAAUUAUCAACAUUCAAUGGAGCCCUUCUCAAAACAUUAAUCAGUUAAAUGAGGACAGGGUUCCCCGGCAAAGGGGCUGAUAGUUAGUGCUUGCUUGGCUCUUAGCCCUCUUGCUUGAACCAUUGACCUAGAUAAUCAAUUAUUGUUCAUCAGCCAAAAAAGAACGAAAAUGUUACUCACACGUAACAUUCAAUCGACUUAUGAUUUGGCGGCGGUUUUUAACAGUCGCUAAUUAAGGAACCCUAGUUUGUGUACAGAAGCCUUAACCUGUUGGUACAAAAUCAGUGAUCAAGUAUUCUCUCAUAAACCAGUUAUACUUCUAACACACCCCUACUUGAGAUCAUUAGGCUUGAAGCGUAGAUAAUACACCGGUCCACUUACCUUAUUCUGAAAGUACACAAGUUUUUAUUAGAACAAUGAGGUAAAGAACACUCAACCACUUAGUCAGAGUCUGUGAAGCUUAACUUGUUGAAUGUCAGAUGAAAACAUAUAUCAUACGCCUACAUACUCACUCUGUCAUUUUACUCAGCAAACAAUAUAAUUGUAUGUACCAUGUUAGUAUGUUACAUUUCUGUCAUAAUUGAUUUUCUUAUUUCAUCUGCAUAAUCAGUAUUUAAAUGAUCAUACGAAAUGCCAGCUGAAGAAACCUUAGAGGCCAUAUAAACCCAGCUGGGCCAUGCCAAGUUGCAAUGUGGCAUUUUCUGGUUACCAAUGCAAUGGUCCAGAUAAUUCUGCGCCACAAAAUCAUAAGAGAUGGUAAUGCUACCAACACAGAAGAACAUCAUGUUUGAUCUGUCAAUUAUGUUGUCCUUGUUUUUUGUUUUGUUUUUCACCUAAUAUGCUAAUAAAUGAGAACGCAUUCAAUUUGAACCUUGCUUACUUUUAUAUAUCCACUUGCACUUCUUUUCCUCCACAAAAUGAUCAAAUUGAAUACUUUUAGUGUUUGCUUGGAUCAAAAGGAAUUUCUUUCAAAAUGUCUGUUCAAAAAUUUGAAUAAGAAUGAAGGGGGUUGAAGGAGUCAAAAUAUCUCUUAACUAAAGUUUGGUCCUUGCCAGAAUUUGGAAUGACUAGAAUACCAUUACUUAUAUUUCGAAAUUCAAAAUUAUGCUUUAGUAAGCGUAUUAGAAGUAAAUUUGUCUUAAAAUUAGUCCUUUACCAUCAAUAAUCAAAUAAAAAGAGUUAUUUCCCCUGAUUUGAAUCCUCUCUAGCCAACUUCUCGCCAUUCCAAAUCUGAGUCGUUAAUUGUACAUAUAUCUACCAAUUUAGAAGAGCUCGGAACACAGACCAUGAGCUCAUAAUACAAGGUUGGCUUGAAGUUUGAGCUUUUAUAUGUCAUUAUAUGUAAAAGCCUAUGUAAAAUUAACAGCUCACCUCAGCUCUCCUCAUUUUAACUAAACAGAAUAAGGACUAAACUCUAUCCCUUUAUUAAAAUUUCUCCUCCUUUUCUUUGAACCAAACAUAGCUAAUCCUAAUGUGAUUCUAUAUUUUUAGUAUCACUUUUAUUGGAUUUUUAUGCAAAAUUAUUUGUUAGUGCCUGUUGAGAUUCUUCAUAAACCAAUAGUAGCCAUUGGCCACCAACAUUCUCCUGAAAAGCUUUCACACAGUGAGGACUCGAGUUGAAAUUAAUCUAGAUGUUUGACUCCAAAUGAUCAAAGCUAAUAUUGAUAAUUAAAGCUCAUGAGUGCAAUAAAUUAAAGUCCUCGUUGGUAUAAAGACAUAAGCCCCACUGACACAAAUAAGAAAAGGAAAAUAAUGUUCAGACCACAGUUUCAUCACCAAUCCAAGACCCUGGUCAUUUGUUUAUGUGAUUUCAUAUUUUCAUUAUUAUAAGUUGCCCCACACAAUAAAAAUAUAGCAGAGAUACACAGUUACAGAACCAAUAAUGUAUAAAAAGGUCUUUGGAUUAUGUUCUGAAUUCGACGAAACUGUUGUUUCAAUUAAUAAAAUCUAUUUGUCAGUGAAAAGAUGAUAACCCAGUUUUUUUUUUUCAAAAGCUUUUAUUGAUGUCAGGAUCACUGGAUCAGGGUUGUGCCAUACAAAUUCUGUGAAGAAAUCAAACCUAUGGAUCGACAAAACUCAAUGAACCAAGAAAAUAGAGAGCUUCAAAACUUCAGUUUCCCACUUUACUCUGACAUUUGAAAACAAAUAUUUUUCACACAUGCAUGCACCGUUGCACUUUGGCAGUUAGUAGUGGUUGCUAACUUAAUAAUUUGAGAGACAAUAACAAUGAUGGUGGACGGAGAUUAAAUUAAAGCACCAAUUAUGAUUUAUUUGUAGUUUUGUGGUUAAGAAUCUUUUAUCCGCUUUCAUGACUUUCUAAUAGUGUCCAAAGUACUCAUGUUGGCUCAUUUGGUAUUGACGAAUUACUUUCUUUUAAAAGAUUAUAUGUUCGAUGUUUGUUGCUGAUGUAAAGGUUAUGUUGGUGAACUAUUUGUAAAUAACUCUUUAAACGGUCUAUGCAUGAUUGUAGAAGCAUGCUUUGAAGUGACCUAGUCGACUUAAACUUAAAUUAAAAAAAUUAAGACCUAAAAGUUGGUAACCAAGUGCUAAAUGAUUGGUAACAAAAAUGGAAUUGAGGAGUGGUUGGGUAGGAAGAGAAGAAAGAAUCCACAUUAGGAAGUUGGUAAGGCUGGUAAGUGCCAUGUGAGUUGCCAUGUGAAGGGAUUUAAAUAUUUGAACAGGGGCUAGGUCCUGACAAAUACUUUAAACAUACCUCCAAACAAGGCCUAGCCUGAUGCAUGUGAGAAAUCAUUGACUCGCCAAGUCUGAAUUAUGGGCAAUGAAAUAAGAGAAAUUAAGCAAAAGAAAGUCAGAAAACUAAUAGGAUAGGGUGAUGAAAUGUGUAGAUAGGGAUUUAAGUAGCAUCCAAAGAGAUAUAUGAGUUAGUGGUGGUAUAAAAUCGCCAUUACAUCAUAUAUUUCUUGGAUGUUCCAAAAAUCCGUAUAGUACACUUAAUAUUUUCUCAUAGAAUAACUUAUACAAUAAAAUGCAUGGAAUCUAAUUAAACCUUAUGUUAAGUCCUAAAAUGAAACCGGGUUAAUGGGUAAAUGUUUUCUAUCGUAGAUAUCGUCACUAAUUUAAAUUUAUCUAUUUUAGUAACAAAUUAUAUUUCAUCUUUAAAUCUCAUCACUAAUACAUGCAAAUUUUAACAGAUAUUUUAAAAUUAAUUAGGGGCGAAUUUUUGAGAUUGAAAAUAAAAUUUCUGGUGACCUUUAUAUCUAUUUUCUGUUCAAAUUGUGGAUAAUUACAAAUUAGUAGAUAAGGUUAUCAAAAUGUAACAUUUUAUGUAGUCUGGUCUAGCUUGUGAGUCCCAAACAUUAAUCAGACACACCAUUUUGUAUUCAUUGUAAUUGAACCACACCUUAACAGACAAGCUACCCCUUGUCUGUAGUUUUACAGCCUCGGUUUGUCUGUGGUGGACCUAAAGGUAAUUAUAAUAAAUGUACAGUUUGUAUCUCCAGAAAAAAAAGGCUUGCUUCAUCAAACUUGAUGAUGGUCCUGAACAAAGAAAACCAAACUUUCCCAUCAUAAGGCUAGUAUAAGCAAACAAUAGUGAAGUUUAUUCCCAUGCAUGGUCCUUGUAUCAUGUGUCUAUUUUCAUAUUAAAACAGAGCACAUCUGAAUACAGGGUAGAUUGUAACAAGAUGUCUAUAAUUUGUCUUUAGUCCAUUAAUUACCAGCUGUCUCAAUACUCAAACCUAUUGAUUGAAGAUUCUUGAAUGAUUUUGUUUCUAAUACAACCACUUAUUGUGUGUGUGAUAAGAAGGCUAGGAUGCAUGAGCAUGAGAGGUUGCAACAGUGUUUGGCUAUUGGAGAUAGAUCACAUGUACACUGUGUGUUUUAUACCAUUAUGUAUGAUAGUAGUGUCAUAAUAUAUUAAUUAUGGAUAAAGUCUCACAUGGAGGGUAUUACCCUCAAAUUUACUGAGCAAAUGCUUAAGACUUCAAGCGCUGCGUUGUCAAGCUAUUAUUCAUGAUAGCCCGACUCGAAGGAGGGUUUGUGUUUAACAUAAUUCACUCUACACGGGUGUCAAGGCUGAGGCUCGCACACAAUGGCUAUAGGUAUCUUAAUUAUUCAUAACUCUCAAGCCAUUCAUAACCCCUCCUAGUCCUAGUCGUUCAUAGCCCUCGAAUUAACUUAAUUAGUCAAUCAUAACAUUAUGCAAUGACCUAAUAAUUACAUAAUAAAUGUGAAACAUCUAGCAAGGUCAAGAUACAAUCUAAAAGACUAUAAAAAGCACAUAUUAGGCAUUUUUACUCUAACACUAUUUUUAAGAGCUAGGUUGUGUACAGUGUACGUAUUAGUUCCCUAGAGUUUGGAGAUAACAAGUGUGAUUGGAUUUUAGGCUUUGAUCACUAACAAAACUUGGGGUCAAACUAUUACCUAAUAUAUGCAAUUAUUGUUGAGAAGUUAGCCUGCAUAAUUAUGAUUCUCCUCAUGUCAUUAACCUAACUAACUUUAAUUUUGUGGCUUAACAAUGAUCCUCCCUUUCAAAUCAGAUUACUUGUCCCUAUGGGAGAGGAGUCCCCCCCUCCCCCCUUUUCAAGUUUCAUUUCAAUGUAAAGGCGAUCAUGCUAAAGCCCCAUAGCUACCAUUAUAGAUUGAUUGAAGUGGGAUAAAAACAUUUAUAGAACAAGAAAUCAUCCAAAGAUUUUGCAAUUAAGAGCAAGAAUAUCAAAUCCAAACUUUGUAAAAGUGGAUGGUUUCAAACUUUAUACAAAACAUGCACGUUCCAUGUUUUGUUUUCUUAUGUGCACCUUCCUCCAAUAUUUAUACAUCAACUCUUACUUUGACCUGCUUUUCUUUAACAGAAAAAUGAAUUCAAGGUUAGCAUAUAAACAAUGACAGACCAAUUGUGAUUUUCCACGCGUCUGAAUUAUGUGAACUCCAGGCUCCAUAGACCAUAUCUAAUUGCUUGUUAAAUUGAUGAAUCAACAUGACUAGAAGCAAAAAUUUUUGUGAAAGCAACAUUAAAGAAAGGAGGGAAGCUACCUAUAUCGCAAAUAAAUUAAGAUUAAAAUUUUGGCGAUCAAAAGUCUAUGAUAAUUGAUCCUUCCUUUUCAAUAAUGAUGCUAUGAAAUGGUCACAAUUACGUCAUAUAUAAUACAAAUGGAGAUCAAUUAAUUAAUGCGAGCGAGCUCAAAACAAAUUGAAGAGGUGCAAAGUUGUUAAGUGGGGUAGAUUGUGUCUCAUGACAUGGUUGAAGAUCAAUUUUACAGGUUGAUAAGUACAUAGCAGUUGCUAAAAAAUUCUUGCAUAGUAGCAGUAUAUAUUGAGCAAGAUAGAAUUGUAUUAUUGCAACUGCUAACACCUUGGAAAAAACGGACAAAUGCAGUAAAGUCAAUUUGUCAUUUGUCGCAUUCUUCUGUCUAAUAAUUUUGAAGUGAUAUAGUGAUAAAAAUAUAGUUCUGUUGUUAAAGUAAACUUUUAUUAAUUAUUUUCAUCCUUAUAUCAUAUUGCAACACUUUUUGCUAGGUCAGGUUGUCAAUCAUGGACAACUUUUUUUUUUUUUUUUUUGCUAAUGUGGAGGGCUUAGAGCCCAAUCAUGGACAACCUUUAAGAGCAUAGUUAUCUUGAGAGUUCAUAUUUAAAGUCAACUUAUUUUUUUCUUACAAUCAAUUUUUGGCACCUUGAAGCAACUCACGGUAACUUUUCCUCAAAAUUAAUUGGGGCAUUAGUCUCAAUUGUUUGAAGGAUUUCCAAACAAACAUGCUAAUUAAUAAUCAUUGAAAAUUUUAUUAUAAUCAAAUUGAGGUAAGGACGGUGCAGAAACAUGGCAAAAAGUUCAUAUUCAUUUGAUUAACUAUAGUUGAUACAUCAAAGCUAUAUAUAGGGGGAACCUAAUGCUAAGCAAAAGCUACUGCCGUACUGCGCAUGAACCAUCACAGGGCCAUUGUGGGAAAAAUCAUUAUUCCACACAACGUUUAUGAAAUUAAGCUAUAAUCAAGUUGGCAAGCCUAGCAUAUACCUUUGCCCAUGUGCUGAGUCUGUUUCUUUCCCUUCCUUAUGUAACAAUGGUUGGAACAAAGAAAGAACAAAUACAUGGUCGUAGCUAAGCCAUGUCAAAGGAAGUUUAAAAACUGGAUCAUAGCAUUCAUGAUGGUGAUUCACAUGCCUUCUUUUCCCAUUGGGUGAUUCACAUGCCUUCCUUCACAAGAAUACUAACCUACCAGAGAUAUUUUGCAUGAUUCAACCAUGCAUUAAGGCAGGAGGGAAUGCAGCAAUCAAUUAAUAAAGACUAAUAAUAAUGAACAGUUGAGCUGAUUACUCAUCCAAUUAAGGGCUGUGUGGUUAAGGCUAGCUAUAAUUAGGGAGUUAGAAAGGUAAUUAUACAACAGGAUAUAUGAGGUAACAUAGGAAAUGUUAGAUUGUUUUCUAUCUCGCUUGGUCUCUUGGUUUCACUCUUUGAAUAACAUGUAACAAACAUCAUCAAAAUCAUUUUGAAUUAAUAACCUUUUGUGUGCAAUAGUAUAAAACUAGAAAUUAAACCCGUGCGUUGCACGGGUUCGUUUUUAAUUUGUAUUUUUUAAUUGUAAUAUUUAAAUUUGUAGAAAGGUAAGAAAUCUAUUAUUUAGAAGAAUAUUUAGAAUAUGUGUAUAAUUAAAUAUAAUUGAGUUAUGAUAUUCUCACACUUUCUUUCUCUAAUAAGGGAAAAAAUGAUCAAACAGGUAGAUUUUUUUUUUUUGCUUCAUCGGAAGAAAAAAUAGGUAGAUUUCUAUUGAGAUUGAAAUGAGAGUAGUUUUUUUUUAUAUAAAAGAAAUUUAAUUACUUAAUUAGAUUAGUAUUGAAAUGAACGUGGUAGUCUACUAUUUUUUUUCUAAUAUUGAUUUAGUCGUUGCAAUGAUGUUAUCAGUUGUGCUAAUUUUUUUUAUCAAGAUUGAUGUGGUUGUUUACCAUUGCUGAUGGCAUAAAAGUUCUUUUAAAAUCACUUUCACGAACAUAAAAAUAGAUUCUAUCUAACUGCAAGAUGGACGUCAUUUGUUCCCUUUGAAUGAUUAAGUUGCUAUUUUUUUCCAUAAUAUGACAAUAUUGAGGAGUGAAAGAUUCCUAUUUCUUAUCAAGAAUAUAGUGAGUACUACAUUUUACACUUAUCUUUCUAGUGCAGUAUAUAAAUUUAUGUGGCUCACACUUUGUUACUGAUUUGUGUCAUAUAAAUAUAUAAAUGAUGAUAUAUUUGUAUGAUUUCAAUUGAAUGAGAAGAAUUGUUUAGUAAAUUACCAUAUAUGUGAAACUCACAGUUUUAUUUUCCAAUCAUCUGCAACGGGGAUAUAUCACUAAGUGGUCUGACACGGGCGCGUCAAUGUAUAAGACACUUGGGCUGAUCGCUUUGUAUAUCUAAUGGGCCGGGCAACCCAUGGUUCGUUUGGACCGAAACCCAAGUUAUAUAAAACAGGAACCACCCAAGCGGUGGAGGCUAUCAUUUUCACGCAUUUUUCAUCUUGUUCGUUCCUUAUCGCUCUCAAUUGCUUAGCCCUUGCUUGAUUUUUCAUUGGUCUAUUUUACAUUCCUUUCGUUCUAAAUCGAUUAGCCUGAGAGGAUAGUUCCAUACCGGAACAUUGGCGCCCACCGUGGGGCCGAAGGAUACUUUCCUAGGCUUCAGUUUUCACCGCGAUGGUGAGUCGAUCCGGGGCGAACGGAGAGAGGAAUCAUGUUCAACAAAAUGAUGUUCCUCCCGAUGCUCUUCAACGGAUCAUGGAUGAUCUCAAUGAACUUCGUCAACAUAAUCAACAAUUACAAAAUCAACUCACUGAUCUCAAUCAGACUCAGGGUUUACGAGAGAGCGAUCGAAGAAUGGCUGAGACGGUGGUGGACUUUCAACCUUUUACAGAAGAAAUAGCGAAUACCGUCGUCCCAGACAAUUUGAAGACGUUAAAGCUUGAUUCUUAUUAUGGUGAUUCAGACCCAAAAGAUCAUUUAGUGUAUUUCAACACGAAAAUGGUCAUUGUAGGCGCAUCAGAUGCUUUGAAGUGCAAAAUGUUGCGAUCAACUUUUAAAAAAUCAGCGAUGAUUUGGUUUACCACUCUACCGUCAAGGUCAAUUGUCAAUUUUACUGAAUUAUCUACAAAGUUCUUGUCUCAGUUUUCUACCAGUCGUGCACAAAAAGUAACUCCGGCGACAUUAUUUAAUGUUCGUCAAGGACCAAAUGAAACUUUGCAGUCUUACAUGGGGCGUUUCAAUCAACUAUCUGUUCAUUUGGAGGAUAAAAUGCCAGAAAUUUGCAUUGCAGCUUUUGAAUUGGGCUUGAAGCCGGGUGGGUUGAACAGUAAUUUGAGUAGAAAGCCUGUGGAGACAAUGGUGCAUUUGCGCGAAAGGGUACAAGGGUACAUCAGGGAGGAGCAGAGUGAUCGGAUCAAGAACAACCGCCCGAAUGCAGCGGUUCCAGGGCAGAAACAGCAGUUUGAGACGAAGAAAGGAGCGGUUGCAGAUCAAUAUUCGAAGGGAUGGACCGAGAGUAGCAGCUCAGGGUAUAAUAAUCGUAACCGUUAUGACGGUCGAUUUGCUAACCGUUCUAAUUUCAAAAAUCGUGCUCAACCGUAUGGAGUGCGUGGGCCAGGACAUUCGAUGACGUGGACUCGGAAUCAAAAUGACCGUGCAGUACCUUUGGCGGUUAAUUUGACUGAAGCUUUGCACACGUGUUUGGAGGCGAAUGUUAUUCGUUUUCCACGGCAACCAAAGCCGUCAACGGGUUACGUGGAUAAGAAGAAGUGGUGCGAGUAUCAUAGGAUUUCAGGGCAUAAUACUGAUGAUUGUUUUACUUUGAAGAAGGAGAUUGACAAAUUGAUAAAGGCUGGGUAUAUGAAGCAGCUUGAAGGGCGAAGCAAUUCAGAUGAAGCAGGAACUUCAAUAAGACGAACUGAAGAUGGAAAAGAGAUUGAGGGCGAUGGUCAGGAUAGACAGUCAGAUGGAAAAGCAAAGGGGCGAAUUCAUUCUAUUUUUGGUGGAUUUCGUGGCGGAGGGAUGACUAAUUCAGCUCGUAAAAGGUACGUUCACUCCAUUAAUGCUGUUUACUCUAAUGAUUGGGGAAGUUGGGCAACCAAUCAACCCGAUAUAACGUUCACUGUGCGAGAUUUUGAGGGAAUACAGCCUCACGAAGACGAUCCAAUUGUUGUAAUGCUGAGGAUUGCUGAUUAUGAAAUUGAGAGGGUACUUCUGGAUCAAGGAAGCUCGGCAGAUUUGAUUUAUGGUGACGCUUUUGAAAAGUUAGGGCUAAAUGAAUCUGAUUUGUUGCCUUAUGAUGGUUCUUUAGUGGGUUUUUCUGGAGAAAAAGUAUUUGUUCGAGGAUAUGUGGAAUUGAAAACUGUCUUUGGAGAAGGGAAGAAUGCGGAGGCAUUUGCUAUUAAGUUUUUAGUAGUAAAAUGUACUUCACCGUACAAUGUCCUUAUUGGGAGGCCAUCACUAAACAGAUUGGGGGCGAUCAUUUCCACAAGACAUUUAACGGCGAAGUAUCCAUUGAGCAGAGGAGGAGUUGGAAUUUUAAAGGCUGAUCAAAUGGUUGCUCGUAAGUGUUAUUCAGAAAGCUUCAAGCAGUAUGGGCACAUGGGCAAGAAGGCGGUGAAAGAGGGGCAUCGGGUCUAUGAGGUGGAUUUAGAACAGUCAGAAAUCAUUUUGGAUCCUCGAGAGGGAUUUAGUGAGCACAAGAUGAAAUCAGAAGAGGAAACUAAGGUGAUCCAGAUUAGGGAGCGAAACUUGAAAGUUGGUGUCAAUUUGACUACAAGUCAGGAAAGCAGGUUAGUGAAAUUAUUGUCCGAGAAUAUGGAUUUGUUUGCAUGGAGUGCAAAGGAUUUACCAGGAAUUGAUCCGGAAUUUAUAUGUCACAAAUUGGCUUUAAAUCCCGGGGCGAAACCUAUUGUUCAGUUUAAAAGAAAGAUGGGCGAAGAAAAGGCAGAGGCUGUGAAGGUGGAAACAAAUAAGUUACUCGAAGCUGGAUUUAUUAGGGAGGUAAAGUAUCCAACAUGGUUGGCGAAUGUUGUUAUGGUGAAGAAGGCUAAUGGAAAGUGGCGAAUGUGCACGGAUUAUACAGAUUUGAACAAACAUUGUCCUAAGGAUUCUUAUCCUUUACCAAAUAUUGAUAAGCUUAUUGAUAGGGCAUCAGGGUUCGGAAUGCUUAGCCUCAUGGAUGCAUAUUCAGGGUAUCACCAGAUAAGAAUGUACCAGCCCGAUGAGGAGAAGACAGCUUUUAUGACAAAUCAGGCGAACUAUUGUUAUCAGACUAUGCCGUUUGGGUUGAAGAAUGCGGGAGCAACAUAUCAAAGGUUGAUGGAUAAGGUGUUUGACAAGCAGGUGGGGCGGAACAUGGAGAUUUAUGUAGACGACAUGGUGGUCAAGUCAGAGGAAAUGAUGGCACAUUGUUCUGAUCUCGAAGAAGCUUUUGGCGAAUUAAGAAAGCAUAACAUGAGACUUAAUCCAGAAAAGUGUUCGUUUGGAAUUCAAAGUGGAAAGUUUUUGGGUUUCAUGAUCACCAGGAGAGGAAUUGAGGCGAAUCCUGAUAAGUGCAAGGCGAUACUUGAUAUGCAGAGUCCAGCUUCAGUUAAAGAUGUGCAGAAAUUAACAGGAAGAAUAGCGGCUUUGUCCAGGUUUCUUCCGUGUUCUGGGGAAAAGUCAGCACCAUUUUUUCAAUGCUUAAGGAAGAACAAAACUUUUCAUUGGACUGAAGAAUGUGAGAAGGCGUUCCAAAGUUUGAAGGAUCAUUUAUCCAGGCCACCAAUUUUAGCCAAACCAGUUCCAGGUAUUCCAUUAUCAAUGUUUAUUUCCAUUUCUGAUAAUGCAGUUAGUUCAGUUUUGUUGCAAGAAAGUAAAGAUGAUAUGAGGAUCAUAUAUUUUGUGAGUCAUGCUCUUCAAGGAGCUGAAAUUAGAUACCAAAAAAUUGAAAAGGCUGCAUUAGCUCUAAUCAUAUCCGCCAGGAAAUUAAGACCUUAUUUCCAAGGCUUUCCAAUUGUGGUAAAAACAGAUUUGCCACUUCGCCAAGUUUUGCAAAAGCCUGAUCUGGCUGGACGAAUGGUUUCCUGGACUGUUGAAUUGUCAGAGUUUGAAAUCACUUUUGACAGGAAAGGUCUGGUUAAAGCACAGGUAUUGGUGGAUUUUGUUAAUGAAAUGUCUUCUAGUGAGAAAAAUAUGGAAGUUGGCGAAUGGAGUUUGUCUGUAGAUGGCUCGUCUAAUGUCAAGGGAAGUGGAGCUGGAAUAAUCUUAGAAGGGCCAGGUGGCGUGACAGUUGAGCAGUCACUCAAGUUUGACUUUAAAGCAAGCAAUAAUCAGGCAGAGUAUGAAGCUAUAAUUGCAGGUUUGAAGUUGGCAAUCGAGAUGGGGGUCAAGAGCAUAAUGAUUAAGACAGAUUCUCAGAUAGUUUCCAGGCAAAUCCAGGGUGAAUAUCAGGCGAGGGACGCACAGCUGGCUAAGUAUUUAUUGAAAGCUCAGGGAUUGAUAAAGCAGAUUGGCACAGUGCAGGUCAAUUAUGUCCCGCGGGAGGAGAAUACAAGGGCGGAUAUUUUAUCAAAGUUAGCAAGCACCAAGAAGCCGGGAAACAAUAAGUCAGUUAUCCAGGAAGUCUUAAGUAGCCCAAGUAUUGAAGAAGAUGAGACAAUGAUGGUGUUAACUUUAGCGGAUUCAGAUUGGAUAGGGCGUAUCAAGAAGUGUUUGGAGGCAGAAGGUUCUGAUGUGCUGACAUUUUCUAAGGAUCAAAUUCGCGAGGCAAGUCAUUACACAUUGUUAGGCGGUCAAUUGUACAGAAGAGGGAUUGGAAUACCUUUAUUGAGAUGUGUUCCCAAGGAUGAGGUGGAAAGAAUCAUGUUUGAGGUUCACGAAGGUGUGUGCGCAAGUCAUGUUGGGGGAAGAUCUUUGGCGGCGAAAGUGCUCAGAGCAGGGUUCUAUUGGCCAACUUUACGAGGGGAUUGUAUGGAGUAUGUAAAGAAGUGUGGUAAGUGUCAAAUUUAUGCAGAUUUACAUAAGGCGCCGCCUGAGACUCUUAGCUCAAUGAGUUCAUCGUGGCCAUUUGCAAUGUGGGGAGUUGAUAUUCUGGGACCGUUCACUCCAGCAGGUUCUCAAAUCAGAUUUAUUUUGGUGGCGGUGGACUAUUUUACUAAGUGGAUUGAAGCGGAAUCAAUGGCGAAAAUAACAGCAGAAAAAGUUAAAAAGUUUUAUUGGAGAAAAUUGGUUUGCAGAUUUGGCGUUCCGGCAACUAUCGUCUCAGACAAUGGAACACAGUUUACAAGCAGGAGUGUGAAGGAUUUUUGUGCAGGAAUGGGAAUUGAGAUGCGUUUCGCCUCAGUUGAGCACCCUCAGACAAAUGGACAAGUGGAGUCAGCGAAUAAAGUCAUUCUCAAUGGAAUUAGAAAGCGUCUAGGCGAAGCUAAGGGAUUAUGGGCUGAAGAGUUAAUCACGGUCAUUUGGGCGUACAAUACUACUCCUCAAUCAACUACUGGCGAAUCGCCUUUUAAGUUGACUUAUGGGGUAGAUGCUAUGAUACCAGCAGAAUUGCAGGAUGUAACUUUCAGGGUGACGACUUAUAGUGAAGAGCAGAAUGACAUGAAUAGAUUGGUUGAUCUCAAUUUAGCAGAGGAAACGCAAGCAGAAGUUCGUUUGAGGCAGGCAAUGGUAAAACAGAGGUCGGAAAGGCGAUACAAUUCUAGAGUGGUUCCGAGGCAAAUGAAAGUUGGUGAUUUGGUUUUGCGCAGGAAGGCGAAGGGGCCUGAUGAUUCGAAGUUAUCGCCUAAUUGGGAAGGACCUUACAGGAUUCUGCGAGAGCUUGGUCAAGGGGCGUAUCAUUUGGAGGAGUUAUCUGGGCGAAGGGUCCCAAGGGCUUGGAACGCACAGCAUCUCCGUUACUAUUACAGUUGAAGUGCAGGGUGGUUCGUUUAGUCUGUUUGGUUUUGUACAGUUUGUUUCAGUGAAUGUUUGUCCAAGACUAUGUUUUGUUGUUUCAGUUUGUGUGUGUUGAAGUCUACGUUUGUUGGUUGUAUUGUUUAAGACUAUGUUUGUUGUGUAAGACUAAAUUCGAUGCACUCUUUUCUCUACCCCAGGCGGGAGAGUUUUUAACGAGGCAUCAAUUAUUAAUGAAUAACAGGUAUGCACUCUUUUCUCUACCCCAGGCGGGAGAGUUUUUAACGAGGCAUAACCUUUUUAAAAUGAUCAAGGGCUUAUCAUUUUACUUAUUUCUUUUACCCAUAGCGGAAACUUAUCAACUAAGGUCUAUCAAUUGGGCGACGUCAGACAAUUGAGAAAAAAGUAAGUCUCUUAAAACAAGAGCAUUCGGCCACGAAUUCAUAAGCACAGUCUUAAAUUGGAUUUAAGCUUGUCCAAACUAAGCACAAGUCUCCACGCGAGCAUACUAAUGAAAUCAAAUAUGUUGACUUUGAUUUCCAUGAGUAACUAUGUCAAAAAUGAAAAAUUUGACUAAGUUAUGUUCACAAAGGCCUUAUGAUUCCAAAGUAGUUGGUUAAGUUUAAACUUUACGACAUUUAAAGAGAUUCAUUCAAGGGUAUUUUACCAUGUACAGUAAAAUGAGAGGGUAACGUCUUCAGCUAAAUGACGAGGGCGGACAGAUUUCGGUGAAAGGUUAGUAAAUGUCAUUUGUGUUAAGUUAUAUGUUUAAGUUAUGUGAUAACUUGAAUAACUAAGUAAAGUUAUGCUGAUAUUUUUAAGUUGUAUGGUAAUUUAGAUGACUUAGUAAUGAUAUGUUUAGUUAUAGAAUUAGUUACUGUGAUAGUUGUUUGGGUGUGAAAAGGAUAAUGUUAUUUCUGAAGUCAUGAAGUUUUAGGUUUUUGGCGAAACAAUUAGAAUAUGAAGUAUUCAUAUAAAAUUCAUUACGAUAUGGGAAAAGUUCGGUACAUGAGAGCAAGGAAAACAAACAAACGAAGAUUAAAGAGACCGGAGGUCUUUUACAUAAUUUUCUAAAAAGAAAUAAGGGAAUGAGACUUGUUGCUAAUGGUUUUCUCCCUCUCCUUCUUUGCGUUUGACAUUUUCUUCUUCAUUCUUGUCUUCUUCUUCUUCUUCUUCUCCUUUCCCAUCCGCGUUAUCCGGGCUGAUCAGUUUUCCAUCUAUGAUACGAGCAUAAGGGUUUGCACCCUCCAAGUUGAUCGCCAGGUCAGGAUUGAGAAAGGAGAUUUGAUUUAAUGCUUUGGCGAAGCCAGCCUCAAAUUGAUUCAAAACAGAACAUUGCAAUUCAGCAAUUUCUGUUUUCAUUUUAGAAUUCUCAUCCAGGGUUUGGUUAUGAACAGUAGUUAUUUGGGCGAGGUCAGCUUUCACUUUGUCAUUUUCCUCAGUUAAUGUCUGAACAGAAGCUUUGUGAUUUUCAGCAGUCUUCUUCGCAUCCUCAAUCUCUACAGCCAAAUCAGCAGCCUUUUUCUCAUUCGCUUUGUUGGAUUUAUCUAACAACUUCAACGUUGCUUUCAACUUCCCAAUUUCUUUUUCUUUUUCUUCAACAAGUUUGGCAUUGGUGAGGCCAUCGAAUCCAUUAGAUUCUAGGUCAAUCAUCUUGGCGACUGCAGCAAUUUCUAAGCCUUUGGUCAUCAUAGCUUGGCAGGCCUCUUUUAAACCCAUCUUCCUCAUCUUCUCACGGUCAGCUUCAAAAACCAAGUUUGUCUCCACCAGAGAGUUGAAAUCUAUCUUUGAAUCCCAAAGUGAAGUUACUUCAGUGGAGGUCAGUUCUUCAAACUCCUUCAGCAAGUUCUUCCAGCAAAUAGGCGGAGCGCUUGAUGAGCAGCCUUUAUUCGUCCCUGGCGAAUCAUUUCUGUUCAUAAAUUGCUCUAAGGAAGUCUGGUUCGAAGCUUUGUUCUUCUGAGAGGCAGGUUCUUCAGUCUUUUUCUUUUUCUUGGCGGGGCGACCAACUUCUGUGCCAGAAUGGCUGGUGUCUUGGUCGGCAACAGACUUUGAAGGAUUCCUUUUUUCACGGGCGGCCUGUUGUUCACGGCGAAAGCGGAGGAGAUCCUCUUCAGUAAGGCGAGCCAUUUUACCUGCAGUAGUAUAGUGGUGUUAGAAUAUGAGAAGAUUUUAAUAUAAAGUGGAAAGGUAAAAUGCAUAAUGAGAUGCCUUACCAAUGUAUUUACCCACUUCAUUCUUAGAAAGGGCAGCCAUAAAAUCUGCAAGGUUCAAUCCUAAGCCAGAUAAAAGUUGGCAAUCUACUAAUUCUGAUUCAGUCAAGGCAUCCUCGGAAAUUUUGAUGAUGCCUUCGUAUUGGUUCGUCCAGUAGAACGGAAAUCGGGGACUCCCAUCAUCAAAGUAAAAAAUAUCUUUACAGGGUUCUGAUUCACGGAGUUUGAAAAAUUUUCCUUUGAAGUGUUUAUAGUGACUUUUGAAUAAAGUGAAUAGUCCUAAACCCCUAGCAGUAGCAAGCGAAACGUAUUCACCUCUAACGUUUCGCCCACAUGUCUCAAAAAAGUAGAAAAACUUAUUACUGGUGGGUUCGAUUUUUAGAGUUAGGCAUAAAAUUUCAAAGGCUUUUAAAUACGCCCAAGCAUUGCCAUGAAGUUGGGUAGGAGCUACAUUCAGAAGGGUUAAAACGGAACAGGUGAAGUCAGAGAAAGGCAGAGUAUACUUCAAAUCAGAAAAUAAGUUUUCAAAGAGAUAGGUAAAGUUUCGCCCCUGAUUAUCUGGUCCCCCAAAACAACACGGCUCAUCAGGGGCGCAGGGAAUUAUGUCCAAAUGUGCAUCUAGGCCAUCUUUCCUAAAGUUGUAUUUAGUGACUAAAUCUAUAAUGGCUUUUCGAGUAGAGUAUUUAGAGAAUUGUUUUUUGAUUUUACUAGCCACCCAUAGGGAAUCGGCAAUAGGUGGAACACUAGGGUUAGGAGCUUCUUUACGGGAACGUUUGGAAACCAUUUUCAGAGU